rnacentral:rRNA from 1 species
UAAACUAAGGUUAAAGAAAUAGACUGACUAAACUACCGCAUAAGCGCACGACGGGCCGCAGUGGUCGUGGUGUGAAAAACUCCGGUGGUGUAAGAUGGACCCGCGUCUGAUUAGGUAGUUGGUGGGGUAACGGCCCACCAAGCCGACGAUCAGUAGCCGACCUGAGAGGGUGACCGGCCACAUUGGGACUGAGACACGGCCCAA